AAUGAACGCUGGCGGCGUGCCUAACACAUGCAAGUCGUACGAGAAAGGGGCUUCGGCCCUGAGUAGAGUGGCGCACGGGUGAGUAACGCGUGGGUAAUCUCCCCUUGGAUUUGGGAUAACUCUGCGAAAGUGGAGCUAAUACCGGAUGGUCUGGCUUUAAAUAAUAAGUCGGUAAAGGAUGCCUCUGCAUAUGCAUUCGUCUAAGGAUGAGCCCGCGUCUCAUUAGCUAGUUGGUAGGGUAAUGGCCUACCAAGGCAACGAUGAGUAGCUGGUCUGAGAGGAUGAUCAGCCACACUGGAACUGAAACACGGUCCAGACUCCUACGGGAGGCAGCAGUGGGGAAUAUUGCGCAAUGGGCGAAAGCCUGACGCAGCAACGCCGUGUGAGGGAUGAAGGCUUUCGGGUCGUAAACCUCUGUCGGAAGGGAAGAACGGGCAUUGGUCUAAUAGGCCUUUGUUUUGACGGUACCUUUAGAGGAAGCACCGGCUAACUCCGUG
rnacentral:rRNA from 1 species